rnacentral:rRNA from 1 species
UACGUAGGGGCUAGCGUUAUCCGGAAUUACUGGGCGUAAAGGGUGCGUAGGCGGUCUUUCAAGCCAGAAGUGAAAGACAGCGGCUUAACCGUUGUAAGCAUUUGAAACUGCAGGGCUUGAGUACAGGAGAGGAAAGCGGAAUUCCUAGUGUAGCGGUGAAAUGCGUAGAUAUUAGGAGGAACACCAGUGGCGAAGGCGGCUUUCUGGACUGAUACUGACGCUGAGGAACGAAAGCGUGGGGAGCAAACAGGAUUAGAUACCCCGGUAGUCCCUGAGCGGG